CCUACGGGAGGCAGCAGUGGGGGAUAUUGCACAAUGGGGGAAACCCUGAUGCAGCGACGCCGCGUGGGUGAAGAAGUAUUUCGGUAUGUAAAGCCCUAUCAGCAGGGAAGAAAGAAGACGGUACCUGACUAAGAAGCCCCGGCUAACUACGUGCCAGCAGCCGCGGUAAGACGUAGGGGGCGAGCGUUAGCCGGAUUCACUGGGUGGAAAGGGAGCGGAGACGGUUAUGUAAGUCUGGAGUGAAAGCCCGGGGCCCAACCCCGGGACUGCUUUGGAAACUGUGUAACUGGAGUACAGGAGGGGCAGGCGGAAUGCCUGGUGUAGCGGUGAAAUGCGUAGAUAUCAGGAGGAACACCGGCGGCGAAGGCGGCCUGCUGGACUGAAACUGACGUUGAGGCUCGAAAGCGUGGGGAGCAAACAGGAUUAGAUACCCCUGUAGUC
rnacentral:rRNA from 1 species